rnacentral:rRNA from 1 species
GACGAACGCUGGCGGCGUGCCUAAUACAUGCAAGUCGAACGCAGUGGGGACGGGUGCGUAACACGUGGGUAACCUCCCAUCAGAGGGGAUAACACUUGGAAACAGGUGCUAAACCGAUCCUGAUGGAUGGACCCGCGGGGCAUUGGCUAGUUGGUUAGGUAACGGCUCACCAAGGCCACGAUGCAUAGCCGGCCUGAGAGGGUGAUCGGCGACACUGGGACUGAGACACGGCCCAGACUCCUACGUGAGGCAGCAGUAGGGAAUCUUGGGCAAGGGAAGAAAGUCUGACAGAGCAACGCCGCGUGAGUGAAGAAGGUUUUCGGAUCGUAAAUCUCUGUUGUUAGAGAAGCGGUAUCUAACCAGAAAGCAACGGCUAACUACGUGCCAGCAGCCGCGGUAAUAC